AUAUCGAUAAAGAACAUAGCGAAAUGCGAUACUUGGUGUGAAUUGCAGAAUCCCGUGAACCAUCGAGUCUUUGAACACAACUUGAGCCCGAAGCCAUUUGGCCGAGGGCACAUCUGCCUGGGUGUCA
rnacentral:rRNA from 1 species